GCCUACGGCCAUACCACCCUGAAAGCGCCCGAUCUCGUCUGAUCUCGGAAGCUAAGCAGGGACGGGCUUGGUUAGUACCUGGAUGGGAGACCGCCUGGGAAUACCAGGUGUUGUAGGC
rnacentral:rRNA from 2 species